AUGGGGUUACUCUUGGACUGUUCAGAGGAUUUCUUUUUUUCCAGUGGCAUGAAUUUAAAUAAGCUAGCACAUUUCAUCUCACUUGUACUUUGUUACCUUUUUCUUGGCAGGUAUCUCCUGUUGAUUGAUGAUAUAUGGUCCGUAGAAACAUGGGAGACCAUUAGAAAUUGGUUACCACAUGAUAAUACAAAUGGUAGUAGAGUAAUAGUAACUACAAGAUUUCAAGCUGUUGGUGCAGCGUGCUCAGAAAGAGAUGGAACUGAUUAUGUCCAUACAGUUCAUGUUCUCAGUGACGCCGACUCCAAAAGCCUAUUUCAUCAGAGUAUUUCUGACUCCCCAAGCAGGAAAGAAGGUGAAAGAAUGGACACAAGAUCUCAAGUUGUUGGUACUGGGUCCUCCAAAGGAGAUGGAACUGAUCAUUUGCCUUCAGCGGAUGUUCCUAGUUUUUCUAAUCCACAAAGCAGGAAGGUUGGGGAGAAAGAAGAGGUCCAUGAGGAUAUAUGGAAAUACUGUGGGGGGCUGCCAUUGGCCAUAGUCACCAUGGCUGGCCUUGUUGCCUGCAACCCCAAAAAAAAGAGUGAUCAUUGGAGUAAAGUUUGCAAGUCAUUAUUUCCGGAGCAGGUGGCUCCCCUUACAUUGGAGGGGGUCACAAGGAUACUUGAUUAUUGCUACAAUGAUUUGCCAGCAGAUCUCAAGACCUGCUCAUUGUACUUGAGCAUAUUCCCCAAGGGCUCAAAAAUUAGUAAGAAGCGUCUGACCCGGAGGUGGAUAUCAGAAUGUUUUGUUUCUGAGAAGGAAGGGCUGAGUGCAGAGGAAGUCGCAGAAACAUACUUCAAUCAUCUUGUAAGAAGGAAGAUAAUACGUCCUGUGGAUCACAGCAGCAAUGGAAAGGUCAAAUCAUUUAAAGUUCAUGACAUGAUCCUUGAAUAUAUCGUGUCCAAGUCAAGCGAAGAGAAUUUUAUUACUGUUGUUGGUGGACAUUGGCUGAUGCCAACUCCUAGCAACAAAGUCCGUCGACUUUCCAUGCAAAGCAGUGGUUCCAAGCAUGGGAAUUCAACAAAAGGCAUGAACUUGUCUCAAGUGCGGUCACUGACAGUGUUUGGAAGCCAGAACCGACGACUCCCUUUCAAGUCGUUCAACAAUGGAAUAAUACAAGUGCUGGAUCUUGAGGGUUGGAAGGGUCUUACAAAUAAACAUCUAAUUGACAUAUGUAAAAUGCUUGUACUGAAGUAUUUGAGCCUCCGACGAACAGAGGUUUCUGAGAUUCCCCCAAAGAUUGAGAAGCUCCAGUAUCUAGAAACUCUUGAUAUAAGGGAGACAAAUGUCGAGGUGCUGCCCAAGGGUUUU
rnacentral:rRNA from 1 species